AUGCUCAUACUGGGGCUGACGAGAAGUUCAGCGUAUUCUGAUGGAGCUACUCAAUCAGGUUUCCAACUCAAGGUACCAUUGGUCGAACUCAAGAUGUCGUUGUGGAUCAAGGACCACCUUGAGACUUCAUCUACGCUGAAGAAGCUACUUUUGAUGCUUGUUCUCUAUGGUACUUCUAUGGUGAUAGUGGAUGGUAUUGUCACACCAGCAAUGUCAGGAGGAAUAUUUGCUUUAUACUCUCUAAUACUAUGCAGGAAUGCAAAGGCUAGCCUGCUCCCUAAUUAA
rnacentral:rRNA from 1 species